AGAUUGAACGCUGGCGGCAGGCCUAACACAUGCAAGUCGAGCGGUAGAGAGGUGCUUGCACCUCUUGAGAGCGGCGGACGGGUGAGUAAUGCCUAGGAAUCUGCCUAGUGGUGGGGGAUAACGUUCGGAAACGGACGCUAAUACCGCAUACGUCCUACGGGAGAAAGCGGGGGACCUUCGGGCCUCGCGCCAUUAGAUGAGCCUAGGUCGGAUUAGCUAGUUGGUGAGGUAAUGGCUCACCAAGGCGACGAUCCGUAACUGGUCUGAGAGGAUGAUCAGUCACACUGGAACUGAGACACGGUCCAGACUCCGUGCGGGAGCAGCAGUGGGAAUGUGGACAAGUGGGACGAAGCCUGAUCCGAGCCCAUCGACCGCGUGUGUAGAAGAACGGUUCUUACGGAUUAGAAACGUCUAACGUUUUAAGGUUAGGAAGGUAAGGUUUAGUAACUUAGUACGUUGACUAACGUUUGACGUUACGAC
rnacentral:rRNA from 1 species